AAUCCUUUGCAUUUUAGAUUUUAACAUGAACAUCAGUAAGGAGGAAAAGAAUCCUUUUGAAAAACUUUGGUGUCUGCAAGGCAGUCCUAAAGAAAGCCAGAAAGCCAAGUGACUUAUACAAAGACGAGAUCUACCUGAACUCACAACCCUAAAAAAAAUGGGUCUACAUGCACCUGCUAUCACUCAAGAACCAUGGUCUCUGUCACUCAGGCUGGAUGCAGCAGCACAAUCAUAGAUCACUGCACUAUCAACUUACUGGGCUCAAGUGAUCCUUUCACCUCAGCCUCCCAGGUAGCCAGGAUUACAGGGAAUUGAAGGAGCCUGACAGACAUUUUCAAGAAUCUGUAUUUUAUUCUGCAAUGCAACAUUAAGAUACAAGACCUGUUUUGGAAAGACCGCAGUAUAGAGGAAACCACUAUAUUAUCCUGGACCUUGUUGGACUCAAUCCA
rnacentral:lncRNA from 13 species